rnacentral:rRNA from 1 species
AUUGAACGCUGGCGGAAUGCUUUACACAUGCCAGUCGAACGGCAGCACGGGGGCAGCCCUGGUGGCGAGUGGCGAACGGGUGAGUAAUACAUCGGAACGUGCCCGGGCGUGGGGGAUAACGUAGCGAAAGUUACGCUAAUACCGCAUACGAUCUGAGGAUGAAAGCGGGGGACCUUCGGGCCUCGCGCGAUCGGAGCGGCCGAUGUCAGAUUAGGUAGUUGGUGGGGUAAAGGCCUACCAAGCCGACGAUCUGUAGCUGGUCUGAGAGGACGACCAGCCACACUGGGACUGAGACACGGCCCAGACUCCUACGGGAGGCAGCAGUGGGGAAUUUUGGACAAUGGGCGCAAGCCUGAUCCAGCCAUUCCGCGUGCAGGACGAAGGCCUUCGGGUUGUAAACUGCUUUUGUACGGAACGAAAAGGCUCUGGCUAAUACCUGGGGCUCAUGACGGUACCGUAAGAAUAAGCACCGGCUAACUACGUG